rnacentral:lncRNA from 1 species
AAGAGGGAGUAGAUUUUGAACAGAAAGUUCUUCGAGGUUAAGUCGGUUUUGGGCUUUCAUUCUUUUGGUUCAAUCUCGCAAGUUUCUUUGAGUCUUCCUUUGUGUGAUAGUCGCUGCCUCUUCUCCUCAUUCCGACUCAGUUCGCUGCCCCGAAUAAGGUAAACCACUCAAAAUCCCUUUGGUUUCUUUCAAGUUAUUUAUGUUGGCUGUUUGUAGCUCUGCGGAGUCUAGACGAACUUGUGUGAUGUGUUCGAAGUUGUUAGUUCAUGUUUCUAUGUCCUCUAAAGCCUCUGUUCAUGUCCUUUUUCUGUGUCUUUAUUUUUUUGAUUUAACGUUCAAUCAAGAUCACAUUGUCGACAUUCGUUAUCCCUCAAAUGUGAAGAAAUUUGUUCAUUGGUCUAUUAUUUUUGCUCAACUUAGACAUUUUUUGGGUUGUAAGUACAUUCGUGCAAUUGACUCCUUUUUAACAUGGUUUAUUACUGUGUGAAUGUGAUAACAAGAUGGUUUGUGUUUGUAAUAACUUUCUAUGUUUUCUCUGUAUCAUUGCACCCCUUUGCUGAUAAUUUUCGUUACGUUUGAUAAAGAUUGACUGAUUAGUUCUUCUUCAAACAAAAGUGUUGUCUUUUUCUCGGUAAAUUUUGAGGACUUAUUUGGAAUUGUACAUCUCUUAGUUGCUUCUCCUGUAGCUCAUAAAAUGUCAUAUUGUGGACAUGCCUAAUCUUUCCGCACAUAUAUGUACACAUAUGCAUUUUCAAUUUUUUUUAGGAAUUGAAUGAGCCUGUGGGUAGUGUGUCUUGGUGAAAAUUACGCUUAAUUCGAAGCCUCUCAAUAGGGAGUUUAGAUGUUGUUGUAUUCGUUUGUGCAUAAAAAUCAUCAUGGUGUUCAAAUGAGAAGUCGAAUGCAUGUCGCUGACUUAUUUCGUCUCCAAAUCGUGCCUAGAUUAAUUUCUUUAUGAUUCUUUUAAAUAUUUUUCGGUUUUGAGUUGCUGACUUUUUGCUGCUUCUUUCUGCCAUUCCGAUUUUACUUUCCCUCUACUGUUUGGCGUGUAAUGCUGUAAAGCUUAAGCCUUUCUUCAUUGAGGAGUAGCCCAAAAUGAUUAGGAAGGUAAAACUGUUCAUUAUAUGGAGCCUUAAUACAAAUUUUAUGACAUGUUUCUUCCCUGUAUUUGUCUUUCAUUAGUUAAUAUGAGGUUUGAGCACAUCUAAACGUUAAAUUAUAUAUUUUUAUCACUAUUAUUUCUUCUCGUAUGGUGAUAUGAUUUCAUACAUAAUAAGGAGUUUGAUGGAUAGUUAAGCGAUAAUAGAUUGUUCGUGUGUAACACUUUGACAAAAAAUAAGAAAAAACAUUUUAUCAAUCGUAGGCAACUUCUGGAAACUAUUUUAUUUUCAUGGAUUAAUGUAUUAAAUUUGGAAUCUAAGGAUAUUAAUUCAUGUGAUAGGAAGUGAGCAUUGAUCCAUUUUCCUUCUGUGGGUCGGUAGCUUUUGCAUAAAACAAGUUGUAGAUUUAUUGUUAUUUUGUGAUGAACCGAGUUGCUCAAUAUUGUGUGGUUUCGUACUUAUGUGUUUUAUUAUUCUGCUACAUGUGAAAUCUACCAAGGGUCACUAUAAACUCCAAUCUAUCUCCGACAUUUCGAGAGAGACACAAAGGCUAAAAAUUUCUCCUUCUAGUCUCUCGACCUUAAAAUUGAUGAGUAGGUCCCCCAAACAUGGGGAAUAUGAAUUAAAUUGAAGAAUUGAAGUCUUGUUAUUUUCAAGCUUAAGCUCUUCUAAAGUUUUCCUUAUUAUCAUUGCGCUAGAACUUAGGACAGGUACCAAAUGGAAAUGGGUCAAAACACCCAAAAGAAAUGGGUCCAACUACCGGUCAAGGCUGACAUAAACCAAAUUUGGACCCAACUCUCUCUCUCUCUCUCUCUAUCUCUUUUACUUUACUGUAUAUUUACUUGAUAUUGGUUGUCGUUAGUGUUAGAAUUAAAAACUUGAAUUCCCCGAAAGACACCACUUUGUUUUAGUUGUUAAAACUAAAUUGAUUGUCUUUAUGUAAACCUAAAAAAUAAAUAAACUUUGCAAGUUAAAUAAACUCACUUAAGUGGUAAGUCGGUUUCUUACCCUUUUUCAGAUUUCAAAUAAAGGUGAAUUAAAUCAAAGAAUUUUAGCCAAACUAAGUUAGUUGUUUAAUAAUUGCAAGUUAGCAAAUAUUUUAGGUGCCGUAAAAACCUUCCUAAAAUGUAAAUAUGAAUUCCCGAACCCCUUUUAAUGUUUUCUUAAGAUUUUCUGUUUAAAUCUUUUGAAAAUUAAGUUUUCUUGAUUUUUCUUUAAAAAUUCAGCGUCAACUCUAAAAAUGUCUAAAAUCUUUUAAAAUAUUUUCUUAUAAGUAAAGCAGAAUGGUGAAUCUUCUUGGAAAUUGGAGGAUUCUAACCUUAAAACUAAACUUAUGUGGCUAUGUGAAAGAACUAUCUAUUCUGUCCUUAUCAUGUUAUAUCAACUAUGGACUUUUCAUGGCAUAUUUCCGUGAAAUGAAAAAUAGUUUGCAUUAGGAUAAAGGGAGUUACAUAGCUUACCACAACUUCUUUCAGAAAACAGACAAGUCUUUCUUUAGAAGAAAUAAAUGAAUUGUUGGCUUGCGGUAAUACAACGUCGUUUGUUAGCUUCACCUCACCGUCUGUCUGAGUUGGGUAACUGUCACUUUUGAACCAAUUGUAGUCAACCUAAGAUGUAGAGAAACCAAAAUCGAAUCUAAAAAUUAAUCCAAGAUGGCUUAACGCUCAAGGAGUGUUGAGUCCAUUAUAAAGAUCACCUUGAGUCCAAAACGGCCCACGGUCUAAUCUGACAAUCAGGCUUACAUGUUUAAAUUUGAAGGUUAUAUAUGUUACUUGAAAAAAUAAUUGUUCCUUGGCGCUAGAGAGUUUAAUUGUUUGUACUAGUCGAAGAAAGAGUUGUACAAGCCACUGGUCCUGCCAAAGGCGUUGAUAUUUGGAGAAGAAAAGAAAUCGAGAUUGAAGGACGUUAUAUGGAAACUUAGUUUAAGAUCGUACCCCUGCGUGGAAUGAUUAUUUGUACCCAUUUUCCCUACUGUGUAUCCCCAUUCAGCUUAUUUAUAGAGCUUGUAUAAAUUUGGGUUUUGGGACAAUGAGAUGUUUCAAAUGACAUAUAUAUCCUUCGAAUUACUAGGUCUACCCUUGGCACAAAAGGGUCACAAGCAUGUUUAGGGGGCGAUAUUUGUAUGUAUACUUCUAUGCUAUGUUACUUUGAAUGAGAACGUUGUUAACCCACUCCUUUCAGGAAAUUUCUUAAAAAAUAUACACAAGUCUCCUACAAAGUCCAACCAAUUUUUUUGAGUCUUGAGUUUCUCAAACAAAAGCAAAUCUUAUCACCAAAUUCUAAAACAUUAUUCUAUCAUCUCAAGAAAAGAAAAAUCACAGCUAUUGAUAAAGGUAAGGGUAUCAAGAUAGAGCCUACUGGGGAAGAGUUGCAGAGGAAAAUAGAACGAAUCAUGUACAAAAUUCAAGAGAUUAUAUAAGAAGGAUUCAAAGUCGAGAUUUCCAUGAUAGUCUACAAAGCCGCAACUGCGAUGCUGGAUAAGGAUUUGACGUCUAAGAUAAAGAAAAGGAAAGAUACCGAGAUAGAAAGAGAGAAAUUGGGGAAGAGGUUGGAUAUGCUCUGACAGAAGAUUCGGGAAAGGCAAGAAAGAGAAAAAGAGAUAGAUUUAGCCACCUGAUACCCUCAAAUUUACUUCUCGAAAAGAAGUAUAAGCAGGCGUAUCAAGUAAAGAACCCGACUAUGAGGUUGGGGUCGAUCAUACAAGAAAAACUAUUUAGACUUAACUUUAACUUACAAUUACUUCUAUUUAAUCAAGUCCUUUCCAAAAACAGGUAAUAAAAGAGGGUUUUAAAUAACAAAAGGAAUUAAAUAUUUCUAUGUAAACAAGUAGCAAGUGGGAAUUUGAUAUUUAUUAAGUGCUGAGAGUAACUACGGCAUAAGUGUUCCUACAGGUUCAUAACACGGUAAUUCUAGCUAUAACAAUCUUUUUCUAGUAUCUUGCAUAGAAAGUGGUAAGUUAUGUAUCCCUAAUUCCUUGGUCUGGAACCUAGGGAAUUUCAUUCCGUACCUUGGUCCAGAUACGUAUGUAUGAUAUACUAAACCUUACAUUUACCUCAUAUUAACCAUCAUAAUCGAUGUAUGGCUUAUUUGUUACUUCGCACCAAUUGACACUAGCCUAUUAGAUAGUGUAUACUAAAUCUAUGUUGAUAAUUAUUUUCUUAUUGUCUACCUCCUUGUUAUGGCAAGUAGCAACACAAAGAGUUCUAAAACGUGCACUCGUUAAAAAGACUUCUAAAUGAAAGAAUUAUCAAUAUAUGCAAGACACUAUUCUAGAAUUGUUAUUUUAACUUGUAUUUACCUUGUUAUUUACGCAUGGUUCGCACAACCCUACUUAUGGAUUUAGUUACCCAUGUUAACAAUCACACAACUCAUAUUGAUUAGACAAGAAUUGAUGUACUUACUUUGAUAAGAUUGAAGAAAAUCCAGAAAACAACUUGAAUAAAUCAAAGUCUUGCAACAAGCGAUUCCGGAAAGUAGAAUAUUUCCCAAAAUCUCAAGUUCAAUAACUAAGAAAGUAAAACUGAAAAUUACCAAAGUGUCUAACACCAAAUACGAGGUUUUUACAAGUAUUUAUAAUAAAGAAGUCCUAACAUAAAAAGGAAAUCUAUUUAAGGAAAAUAUUCCAAAAAAGCGUCUGAGUCGACGACCGGACCAAUGGACCGUCGAAGACACGAUGGACCGUCGAGGCCUCCUGUCGUUCAACACUUAGAAUCUUUUUCAGCUGCUUUCUUCUCCUAUGCAUGUUACCACCGAUAAAGUAGGAUUAUGGUCCGGUGAGUGCACGAUGUCCCAUCGAUGGCUUUCGUUUCUCCACACUUAGAAUCUUUUCAAGACGGAUACUGGGGAAACUUUCUGUUAGCAAUGACGCAUGUGCAGGAUGGUCUGUCAUGAAGAUAAAGGUCCGUCGAUAUCUUCCGUAGCCCCACACUUGGUCAGAAUACCCUGAUUUUCCUUCACCAGCAUUUUCUUCAGAUGACGGUUGCCACAGACGAACCGUAAUUGUCUGCACGGGUCAUCACUUCUGCAAUUUUAGCACAGUUCUUCCGCAUUUUCAUUCUAGACAGUUUUCCUACCAACAAAUAGAGAAAAAAAUUAAAACUACUAUAAAAAGUCCUUAGACACACACUAAACUGAAGGAAAAAGUACCAUGAAACCACGGUACAUCAACAUCAUCAACUUAAAUUCGUUGUUUGUCCUCAUGUAAUGCACUAUGACUCACCACAAAACCUUUGUAGAAGAGUAUCUUUAUUUUAGCUUUCACAAUUAUUUUGUUAUCGAUCCUGAUUAUUUUGAUUAUGUUUAUGCAUGAUAUAACUAUUAGGCUCGCUCAUAUGGAUCAGACCAUGACACGAACUCACCACACACCGACUCCUAUCCUCUUUGAUAUCUCACCAAGGUACCAAUUUUCCGGUAUUGCAACUACUGUCCUCACUUAAAAAAAACAUCCUUAUUUUUCACAGAAUUAUUUCAGUUUGAGUAUAAGGAUUAUUUUUUUCAACACUCGCUCUCAAAAAAAAAUCACACCACAUUUAUACCUGUUGCCAUAGGCUUGCCCUUAUUUUCACUUCUUUAAGUUCACUAUAAUUGACUCUGAGGAUCACGAUAGGACUUUCUUAGCUUGAAACAUAGGCUCUUGGUCAGGUAGGGUACUUAUGGAUGUAUUUUAGUGACUUAUUACCCUCCUUGACAUAACGGAUAAGUGUCCUACCUUUUCAUCGUUUUAUUCCGCCCUAUUCCUUCAUUUUUUUUAUAUUCUUUCGUCUUACUUUUAUCCUUUCUUUCUCCUUUUGUGUAAGUGAUUUUUUUUUAUAAAAAAAUUUCAGUUUUCUUUAAAAUUUUCAUUUUCUUUUGUUCUUUCCCUUUCUUUAUUCUUUCAAUCCCACUUCCCGGAGCAUUCCUCAACUAGCCACCCUCAACUCAUGGUUUUUCCAUGUGUCAACAUAUACACUACCCAUGGUUGGGUUAGGGGAAUGAAAAGAUGGUUUUCUGCAAUAGCCACCCUCAACUAAUGAUUUUGGUAUAAGCUGAGGUGCACAUGUCCAAGGAGGUGCCAGAGCCAACAUAUUGUUCCCAGAAAAGAUCAUUUAGGGUGAAAAUUAAAGGUCUAUUUUUAGCUCAAAUCAUUUGGAUCUAGAAAGAUUAAUUUCAUUUGGUUUUCUAUUUAUCUAGGCUAAAGAUUGGCUAUCUUGAACAUGGGCCUAUGAUCCUUUCCUAAUUGUCUAUAACAACUUACUUUUAGCAGGACUAACCAGGCAUGUUCUAGCUCGAUACCAAUGGUGGACUAUUCAAAUUUUCCUCACACUUGGUUGAAAUCUCAUUACUCUACCAAAUUAUCAAAUACCUAGUUAAAGUUUAAUAUUCAGGGACAUGCAGUGGUGUAUCUCUAUGUCAUGCUUAGAACCACACAUUCAUCAGUUACUAUGCCUAGUCAUGUAGCAUUUUCUUUAAAUCACUAUAUCAAUUUAUUUAGCCAUCAUGCUUCAGAUUCCAUUUCUGUACUAUGUACAGAAGAUACCAACAUGCUGGUUCAACAAUAAAAUAACCAGUCUCUUGGGGAAAAAGAACACAGGCAAGAAAACACCAAGAGAGGAUCGUGAGUUGGGCUACUCAGAUUUAACCCUAGCACUCACUUUCCAUUUACCCCACCUCCAACAAAAAGACAUGCAAUUGUCCGCAAUGCAUAAAAGUAUAUAAAAUGGGGUGGUAGGUGAAGCAAACAUGAGGCGCAAAGCGCCGAUGAUCAACAUGCUAACCCCUUUGUCGACAGUGCCCUAACUUAGAAAAAUUUAAAGAAUAUACCUGGGCACAACGGAUCCUACCGACGGUUCGUCGAAGGGACGAUGUUCCGUCAAUGGGUGCACCAGACCAAUUUUACCAAGAUUUCUGGUGAUUUUGUCCUUGAACAUUUAACACCCAUUAAGAUAAUCUUUUUGUGUUUUCUGGACGCAUUUUUUUGAACACAGACCCUACAGUACGAUCUAGCCAACAUUCCUAAAGAAAAAUAAAAGAACAUUUAGACGUGACAUAAGUAAUAAAAGCAAAAAUAAUGCAACUAUGCCUAGAAAAUGACUAAAAGCUAUAGUUCGCUAGAGGAUAUAUAUUGGGUUGCCUCCCAAUCAACGCUUGAUUUAACGUCACGACACGAUAGAGAACUUUUGAUUACUCAGAUUUCAUCAAGAUGGUAUGCCUCAGUCACUUCACGCGCCAUUUCAGCAUGCCCUAGAUGGAUUUUGAUUCGCUGCACGUUCACCUUGAACAUUACACCGUCCUUGUUCUCCAACUCAACCACACCAUGUGGGAAUAGUUGGCUGAUCAAAUAGGGACCAGUCCAUUUGGACUUGAGUUUGCCUUGAAACAAGCACAACCUAGAAUUGAACAAAAGCACCAAAUCCCCCACCAAAAAAUCGUGCUUCUCAAUCUUUUGGUCAUGGUACUUCUUCAACUUUUCUUUGUAGAGGGCUGAACUUUCAUAUGCCUUCAAGAAAAAUUAAUCAAGCUCAUUCAACCCUUUUAACCUCUGUUCAUCAAGGUGAACUCUUUUUUUCUUCUUUUAUAUCUUUUUCGGUAAUCGAUACACACCCUCUAUCCAGUCACUGGUCUCAUCGGGACAAACUCAUUUUUCUCAUUGGGGACCACAGUAAUUCCCCCUUUAUUAGGUACAAAUUGAACAAGGCAUACACAAAUACUGUCGGCGAUUGUAUAUAUCACUCAAACAUCCAACCACUUAAUAAUUUCCUUGUUCACCACCUAAUGCAUAGGUGGAUUGAAACAUCUCUAGUGCUCAAUACUUGUCUUGAUCGGGCAUGACUUGGAUUUUAUGUGAACAAAUCCAGGAAGGGAUCCCAAUAAUAUAAACCAUAGUCCACCAAAUAGCUCUUUUGAACCUUUUUAACACCUCCACUAAACUCUCAACUUGAUGCACAUUCAAAUCUUAUGCAAUAAUUACCGGUAAAGUGUCACCUUUUCCCAAGAAUACAUACCUCAAAUAAGGUGGUAGAGCCUUAAGUUCUACUUUUGCAGCCUUCUCUAUAGAUGGCUUCACGGGUAGAGACUCGCAAUGAUUUAUAUCGAACUCCAACUUCUUUUGUUUAAACCAAAAAUCACCGCGAUCAAGUGCCGCGACCAAUGACCCAUACUCUUCAAUGCAAUCACUAUCAAAAUUCAUGAUCACUGCAGCUAGUGCUUUUAGACCCAUACGAUCUUCUAUUUGUACCUCAGAUGACUUUUCAACCCUGUAAUAUAUGGCAGAUACCGAUUGGAGAUGACCACUCUACCUUAUGGACCUACAAAUGUUGAAAGUCAGUUCUUCAUUGUUCAAGCGAUAUUUCAUUUGCCCUUUCUCCAUAUCAGCCAAGGAUUUACCCGUAGCAAGGAAUGACCUCCACAGAAUAAUAGGCACCUCAAAAUCGUCCUCAAAAUCCAGAAUCACAAAAUUGACCGGAAAUAUGAAUGACUCCACCUUUACAAACACACCGUUGAGUAUCCCAAUAGUCUUCUUCACCGUUCGAUCGGCCAUCAGUAGUCGUAUCGCAGUGGGCUUUGGGUCACCCAAACCCAACUUCUUGUUAGUAGAGAGAGGCAUGAGAUUUAUGCUUGCCUCAAGAUCACAUACUGCUUUUCCAAAGUGUAAUAACCCAAAUUAUACAUGCAAUAGUGAAGGCACCCAGAUGUUCUUUCUUUGGCACUAAAGACCUUGUAGAAAUAGCAUUACAAUGCUGCAUUCUAUCAUAAUCCUCAAAAGAGACCGAUCAUUUCUUAGUGACCAUGUCUUUUAUAAAUUUGGCAUAACUAGGCAUUUGUUCAAGAGCUCAUAUCAAAUGGACAUUGAUGGUAAGCUGUUUGAGCAUAGUGAUAAAACACUGAUAUUUACCAUCCUCGAUCUUUUUCACUAUCAUCUAUGGGAAUGGAGGUGGUAAUGUAGGCAUGAGGUCACCUUUUGGAGUACCUCAACUUCUUUCCUGUUUUGUCUCCUAACUCACCACUAGCCUCCACUACCUCAUCAUCACCUCUUAUCACAGUUACUACACUCGACGACAUCGGUGGGUCAAUGGUUUGCUUACAACCUCAAGUUGGGACUGCCAUACAAUGUUUAUCAUUUUUCAGAUUUUGGACAAUAUUGCUAGGAAGAAGGCCCGGCUGGCGUGGGUUCACAGUUGAAGACAAUUGGACCAUUUGCAACUCAGGAUGCUUGAUCGAGAUUGAAUGUGCAUCAAAUUUUAACCAAAUACUCGUUAAGUCACUCUUCAACGUUAGUGUGCUCAUCACUAGCAUCAAACCUCCUCAUCAUUUUGUGCAACAUAUCCUCCACUUAGGCCAUACUGCCUCCACCAUCCUUAGAACCAACUUCACGAUUUUUAUGUGGAACAUAGGGCCCACUCCUAUCAUUUCUGUUACCAUAGUUACCCUGGUUGAAGUUGUUGUCGCAGUUGUAACUCCCAUCUAGGACAUAAUGAUCCUCUCGAUUGUAAUAACUAUAGUUCCAACCUUGAUUUCCUUGAUCUUGGUGACCAUUCUCCUGAUUAGAUCCCUGGGCGUCUAGUUGGAAACCCUCCGUCUGCUAAUAUACAAUAUAAGAGUCCUCCUUAUAGUAAUACUCAUCAUUCGACUGUGGUGGUUUAGACAAGUAGUUCACCACAUUACCUUUUCUGCACCACAGAGACCUGUUUCAACACCAAACCAAGCUCAAUUCUCAUUUGAGCCAUUUAUUCAUGAAUCUCAUCUGUGGCUGGGUUGUGUGUGGAUUGCACUAAAAAAGUGUUUCUCCUAGUAUCUGACUUCCAAGUUCUCCAAGCUUGAUUUUUUUGAGAGAUUUUCUCCAAAUUCUCAGCGAUCUCAACAUAAGCACACUCCACAUAAGAACCACUCACUAUCGUAUCCAGUACAACUUUAUUACUAUCAUCUUGUCCCAGAAAGAAGUACUCUUUCGAUGACUCAUCAUCAAUGUCGUGAUUAAGGACACUUCUCAAGAAUGAGGUGAACCUAUCCCAAGAAAUACUGACUGAUUGUCACGACCAGAAUCUAAACCAUAGACAAGACCGGCGUUGUUGACCUCUUAGAGGUCACAGACAGGCCUACAUACGUCAUUCUUACUUCAUCUAGGUUAAUUUUAGAGGAAAAUUUGAACUUUUUAUCUUCUUACCUCAUGUUAAACAUUUUAAACUUAACAUUAUAGGCGUUCAUAAAUCAAUCAUCUUAUAUAGAGAUAAUCAAAUGAAAGAAACAAUUUAUAAUUUCCUUAAACAUAUUUUUGCAUAAAAGGUACCAAUAUAAAGUAUGAAAUGAAAGUGGAAAGAAACACUAGUGGAACAUGCUUCCCUAGCUAAAGCCUACAUAUAAGAUUGUUAAUAAUUGCAGACAUCCUCAAAAGCAUGAGGGACUAAUAAGUCCGGAUGAAAGCUCCACGUACGGAUACCUACAAAAUCAACCUGUAAGCUCUAGCGUCCACCUGUGCCUGCACCUAAAAAUAUAGAGUUGUAUGGGAUUAGUACACACUUGUACUAAGUAUUGGUACAUGCAAGAAAAAACAAAGGACACGCAUGAGAAAGAAUAACUCUUUCCUAAAAACAUGACUUAUGGAAAGUCAAAUCAGUGGACUAGCCAAAUUUUGAUCAGGAAAGUCAAUGGACCUGCCAAAUUUGGAUAUGGAAAGUCAUGCCAUGAGUAUAACAUGCAUCUUCAAACUUAUCAUUUUGCAAUCAUCACAAAACAUAUUUCACAUAGUACAUAUCAUAAUUUAUAUAACACAUAACGUUGUUUAUAUCAUUCAUUCGUAUGCCAUGAGACCUUGAAAUCAUUGACUGGACAUUAAGACUUCCCAAAAAUGAGGGCUUAACAUAUGGGACCUCAACUAGGGAGUCUUAUUUUGCAAACACAGAGCCUGUUUCAUUCAUUUAAUACAUACUUAAUUUCAUUUCAUUGAUGGACCAGUGUAAACACCAGCUAUACCUAGGAUGUAGCUUAAGACUUUCAUCAGGUUCGUUGUGCAAUGACCAAGAAUGACCUAAUGUCAUUACUUGAAUCUAACUCACCUCUUGAUUAUCCUAUCUUGACAGUUUCGGUAUCAUUCGUUUCAUCAUGUGCAUCAUUUGAGGCUUGACUCAUUCAUUCAUUGGGAACUUUAACUUUAAUGGACAUAGAUUAUGUGAGCAUCAUGAAAUUAGUGUCAUAAUACCCCAUACCGAAAAGAGGUGGAAUCAACAUCCAAAGUGACCCAAAACAUGCUAGCAUACAUGGGAAUUGAACUCCGCCAGAUCCCUAUAUUGGAAGUAUAGGUUCUAAGAGUAGGAGAAAUAAGGAUACCCAUACCAAGCAUGCCGAACAGUCUCAUCUCAUUAGAGUUACGUAAACCUCCGCCUUUUUCGAAUGAAGGCAUCACUGCUCAUAGAUAGUGUAUCGGUGCUCAGUAUAAAGUUGCAUUACAUUAAACUCAUACUUCAUGGAAGUUGGCUUCUAGUAUGAGGACAUCAUAGCUCAAUAGAUGAUUUCUCAUCUCAUCAUUACUAUUAAGUGUGUUAAUCUCAAUACUUUCAGUGGAGUGUUCAUAGAGACUUGUCUCUUCAUUAACUUUACACUCUCAUAGGUGAGUACUUUUUUGUAACAUUUACUUACGCUCAUUUGAGAUUGCUCUCAUCUUUUACAUUAGCCUCAUAUCAUGUUGUCACCUCAUUCAUUAACAUUAACACAUUUUCUCUUCUUAAUUACUCACCCCUUUUUACGUGAAUUUUCAUUUCAUCAUAUGUCAAUGCCCAUGGCAAUUUAGUAUGUUUCACACUCUUACAUAACCCUUCUAGGGUUUCAUCACUUCAUUAUUCAGUUUAUCAUUUCAUUGUUCAUUUCGUCAUAUGCCAAUGCACUUGGCCAUUUUGGGUAUCUUACACUCGUACUUAACCCUUCUAGGGUUUCAUCAUUUCAUUACAUACAUCUUAGGUUAAAUUAUUUUUAAUCGUAUGCUAGACUUACGGGUCUAUUCAUAAAAGACAUGAGGCUUCAUUCAUAGUUUGUUAAGUGAAUCAUAUCUUCCUAAGAUUAUGUAGUGCAAGACUUAUGUAUCUUGUAUGUAUGCCAAGAUCUUGAUUUUGAUCUAAGUAGGUGGUCUAUUAUUGAACAUUUAAUUCACGUAUAAUUUAUGUAUCAAUACGGGAAUUUGGGAAAGGGAACCCAAGUUCGAACCCCUUGGACAAUACUUACAUUUUUCCUUGUCUUUAUCUUUAGUCUUCAUGACAUUGGGACCCUUGAUCGAGCCCUAACAUCAACAUUCUAUCUUUAUUUUUCUCCUUGAGUUUUCCUCUUAUUUGGACGAAUGGUUGUGGGAUCGAACCCCCACAACCAAUUUUUAUUUUUCAUUUAAAAUUUAUAUUGUCCAAUUUUCCUAGACCAAGAGGUAGUGGGAUCAAAGCCCCACAACCUCUCUUUAUUCACUCUUUAUUUCACUAGUGACAGGGAGGUUGUGGGUUUAAACCCCCACAACCUCCUUAUUUUAUUUUUACUUAAAAAUUGACAUACUAUGCAUUUGGCAGUGAGGUUUUGGGAUCGAGCCCCCUCAACCUCACUUUAUUUUCUUAUUUAUUUCUCCCCUUUCCCCGUACCAGCCUAGAGUUUCUAGGUUCGAUUCCCACGCCUUACACUUUCUUUUAUUUUUCUUUAUUUUGAUUUGCUUCCUGGAAGUCAUGGGUUCAAUUUCCACGCCUCCCAUUUUAUUUUUUUAAUUUUUGUACUCUACAUGAUUCAGCCAGCAUACCCCAUAUCGAUUCGCCUUGACCCCAUUUCUUUUUUUUUGAUUUUAUGGUAGUGUAUGGGUGAGGUCACAGGUUCGACUCCUUGUGGCCUCAUCCCUUUAAAUUCAUAUAAAUUUCCACAUUUUUCAUCAUUAUUUAGCCUAAACCAAACUUGUAAAUUAUUUGGAAUUUAGUCAUUUUAAGCUUAUUUUUUACCAACAUUUUCACACAAAAUCUUAGGGAAGUUCAUAGAUCAUUUAACCCUUUUUAAGGUGCAUUUCCACAGAUUCUUUUAACCAACAUAUUGAUAAUAAAAUCAGCCACACUUCCAUUUCAAUGAACAUCACGAUUUACAUAGCUUUGUACACGUAAAAUUAAAACCAAAACAUUAUAAAAUUUUGAAGCCUUUACCAAGAAUCUCAUUUACAGUAACACACUUGUACACACAUACACUUGCACAUAAUUUUGAAUGCAUGGUUCUCUUUCAAAUGAUUUCAAGUACACAAACAUCAUCAUAUUCAUCACGAAAACAUAACAGACACCUAACUCUACCAGCAAUUAUACCCAACCUAGGAUUCAUUGGGAGCUAGUGACAUGGGCAUGCAAGAGGGGAAACAUUCCUAGUUUUCGCAUGAAUAAUAUGAACCUUAAGGGGUCUCUUGGGAAAGGGACCAAGAUAGAAGAAAACCCAUACCUUUUUGACGUUAAAAUCUUGACUUGUUGCCCAAAAAAUUCACCCAAGAAACCGUCUAAGCCUCCUUAAUAUCAACUCCACUCGAAUAACAACCUACCUUAGCCUAGUGGACGAUUAACAUUUGUUUUCUUGUGAUUUGGUGUGAGUUCUUCAAGGGUGAAGAACUUGGUUUAUUUUUCAGAUUUUGUAUCUUAUUUUGGCAGAGAAAAAAAGUGAUAAAGAAUAAGAGAUAUUGAGCAUGAGAGUGGAGAGAUAAACGUGCGAGAGAGAGUAGGAGUUAUAUUAGGCUAAGGAGUCUACUCUAGGACUUAGUCAAAUAAGGUUAAUCUUAAUUAUUAAAAAUCUGAUUUUUAUUUUAUUUUAAAUCAGAUAAUGAAUAAUAAUUAUUAAUUAUUUAUUUUAAUUAAAUAUCUUAAAUAAAAAUCACAUUAAUUCAUUGGUUCCACCUAUUUUCGAACCCGGGUGAAGUAAGACCUCACUUCAAGAGAUCAAUUUCGGGUCUCUCUCCCCAAAUUGCCCCUCCACAUUUUUAAUUAAAUAAUUAAUUAUAUAUUUAAAGUAAGUAGAUAUUACGGUUAUCCUGGAAAAUGACCAUUUUACCCCUAGACCCUCCAAACCUAAGAUUUCAUCUUUUUAAGUCCGGUAAAGACUCCUUCGAGUAAAUCUUCAUAUUAGAGAUCCCUACAUGGUUGGACCCAACCUUUCCUAGCUCAAAUAACUCCCCAAGUUAGUUGUAUUGGAUGUAGCAAGGGUUCCGAAGUCUGUUUCUACGCGCGUCAAUCCGUGUGAACCCUGGCCUAGUCAUGGGCAAUCUUGACACAUUAAGUAUCACUUAGUAUAUCCAUUUUUAGGGUUGUUACACUGAUUCUCGUGGUAGUGCCACAGAGUUGUUCACCCUAUCUUUGUGGUUUAACUUCUUAGACACUAGGUAGUAACGUGCUAAGAACACAUCCCUCAAUUCAUUCCAAGUAUAAAUUGAGUUAUAGGGGAGCUCGGUAAACCAUAUAGUAGCCUCUCAAGUCAGUGAGAGAGGGAACACUCUUAACCCAAUGACGUCCAUGUUCAAAUCAGCCCUCCCCACACAAAUUUUACACACCGACCUCUUUUUUGCAAUGUGAUCAUGUGGGUCCUCAGAAGAUAGUCUCGAAAACAAACCUCUAGCUGUGAGCAUUUGCAUUAGACUACUAGUUACAAAAAAAGUAUGACCCUGUGGUAGAGGAGGUAGGACAAGUGGACAUUCAGAGUCAGUGAUGUUUAAAUUUCCCCUAUAGUACUCUUGAGGGCGUGGAGCGGGAGGUUGCCUCCUUAUUUCACCUUCCCCAUGAUUUUCAGCUAAUAUUUGAUCAUGAGCUUCAACCGGUGGUGGAAUUUCCUGGUCGAACUCAUCCUCUAGAUUACCCAGAGUUUGGUUCAUUCUGCAUAGUCUACGGUUCAGUUCGGGGUCGGGUGAGAGUAUGGGUUCUCCGUUACUCCGUGUACUUGGCAUACACUUAAGUUUCAUCUUGAGGAAAAAAAUAAAGAGAAAAAUUAAAAUUAGGAGAUUUUUUACUAAACUUCGGUAAUGGGCUUAAAGUUAAUCUAAAAGCCACUUUCACCGACAGUGCCGCCAAAAUUUAAUACGCUCAAAUUUACUUCUCUAAAUGAAGUAUAAACGGUCAUAUCAAGUAAAGAACCCAACUAUGAGGUUGGGGUCGAUCAAAGGAGGAAAAUGAGUUAGACUUAACUUUAACCUAUAAUUACUUCUAUUUAAUCAAGUCCUCUCUGAAAACAUAUAAUAAAAGGCAAUUUUUAAAUAAUAAAAGGAAUUAUUUUUUUUAAAGAAGACAAGUAGCAAGUAUGAAUAUUUGAUAUUUAUUAAGUGAUGAGAGUAACUAAGGCAUAAGUGUUCCCCACAGGAUCAUAACGCGGUAAUUCUAGCUAUAACAAUCCUUUCCUAGUAUCUUGCAUGCAAAAUAGUAAGUUAUGUAUCCCCAAUUCCUUGGUUCGGUAACUAGGGAAUUUCAGUCCGCACCUUGGUCCAGCUACAUGUGAAUGCUUUACUAACCUUACCUUUACCUCAUAUUAAGCAUCAUAAUCGAUGUAUGACUUAGUUGUUACUUCGCACCAAUCGACACUAGCCUAUUAGAUAGUAUAUACUAAAUCUACGUUGAUAAUUUUUUUCUUAUUAUGUACCUCUUUGGUUCGACAAGUAGCAACAAGGAGAGUUCUAAUACGUGCACUCGUUAAAAAGACUUCUAAACAAAAGAAUUAUCAAUACAUGCAAGACACUAUUCUAGAAUUGUAAUUUUAGCUAGUUUUUACCUUGUUAUUUAUCCAUGGUUCGCACAACCCUAGUUAUGGAUUUAGUUACCUAUGUUAAAAAUCACACAAUUCAUAUUGAUUAGACAAGAAUUGAUGUACUUACUUUGAUAAGAUUUAAGAAAAUCUAGAAAAUUACUUGAAUAAAUCAAAGUCUUGCAACAAACAAUUUCGGAAAGUAGAAUAUUUCCAAAAAACUCAAGUUCAACAACUAGGAAAAUCAAACUAAAAAAAUACCAAAGAGUUUAAACCUAAAAAUGAUGUUUUACAAGUAUUUAUAAUAAAGAAGUCCUAACAUAAAAAGAAAAUAUAUUUAAGGAAAACCUUCCCAAAAAUACGUCCUAGUCAACGACCAAACGAACGGACCGUCAAGGCCACAACGGGCCGUCGAGACCUCCCAUCGUUCGACACUUAGAAUCUUUUUUAGUUGCUUUCUUCUCCAACCCACUGCUACCAUAAACGUACCAGGAUGACGGUCCAUUGAGUGCAUGAUAGUGCGUCGAUGACUUCCAUUUCUUCACACUUAGAAUCUUUUCAAGACAGGUACUGGGGCUACUUUUUGUUAGCAAUGACGAAUGUGCAGGACGGUCUAUCGUGAAGGUUAAGGUCUAUCGAUAUCUUCCGUAGCCCCACACUUGGUCAAAAUUCCCAAUAUUCCUUCAACAACAUUUUCUUCAGACGACGGCUGCCACCUACGGAUCGUCAAGGGUCGACAGACCAUCAAUAUCUCUGUAAGUCAUCAUUUCUGCAAAUUCAGCAAAGAUCUUCCGCAUUUUUUAUUCUAGACAGUUUUCCUGCAAACAAAGAGAAAAAUACAUUAAAACUACUACAAAAAGGCCUUAGACACACACUAAACUUAAGGAAAAAGCAUUGAAAGUACCAUGAAAGCAUGGUACAUCACUACCGCAAAUGCGCUAACCAGAAAUGCAACACUUGACGAGGAAUAGACGGAUGAGAUGGAAUAAUUCACUUCCAUGAAGAAAAAAUAUUGAAGUGUGGGGAAAACAAAGCUUUCCAUGGGAACAUGAUCGCCAAAAGUCAAAAGAUGUGCGAGCAAUACUCUAUUUGCGAUCAAGAUGCGAGUAGUGGAUCAUAUGCCCCUAUUCCUUGGUCUUAUAAGAGGAGGAGACAAGCGGAUCACUUUCCUAGGAAAGGUUGUGUCGUGCACUCUUUUUUACAAGCAUCUUAGGCGGAACCCUCAUGAGGGAAUAACUUCUUAAUUUGGGCGUGAAAACUCUCCAUAGGUGUGUGCCUUCUACCCAAACGAGUGAGGGCUCAAUAUAAAUGAAUAUGUGCAGCUUAAGUAAAGAAUAUGCCACCAGAUCGACAUUGGGAACAUCCCACAUAUGUGGGGUGAUAACACAACUCUCACCUAUGACCAGCCGGAGCCAAGUGAGCACACCCAGUUUAUUUGUCAUUAUUUCACACCAUUCCGAAAAUUUUUGCUGCAAAUCUACAAUGAUUUGGUUCAGAAUGGAGUCUUAACAUUUAUCCAUGAGGAUGAUAGAGGUCUUGACCCUAUUGGGGCUGAAAUAUGGAAACCUUGUUCUUAUCAUAAUUCUAUAGAUCAUAGCCUCUCAGGGUGCCUCAGCAAAGCUUUUGCUAUGACGUAGAAAUCCUUUGCAACAUGGGAAGGAUCCGAGUCGAGUUUGUUCCCCAUGACUGACGCAACAUCAAAAAGAAAAAUGGGUGAGAUGGAGCCACUUUUUAUCUUAAUUUCUUUGUUGUUUAUUUUUCAAUUUCCCUGUAAUCCUAUAAGAAUGAAUGAAACAAGUAUUUCUUUUAAACCCAAACUACGUACGACCUGAAUUAUCAUUGUGAAAUACGUAGGCAACCUUCAAAGUCCUAGCCUCUACCUUUCAAAAAUUUUAUUCUUCCCAUUUCCAACCACAAGAAAUAUGAGGCUCAGAUCAAUGGACGUAGAAAAGAGAUGUAGCGAAAAUACCUUAGAUCAAUGUGAUUUAACCUUCAUGAGAUUAUCCCAAAUUAAAAUCAGUAAACUCCUUCCUAUUAAAAACCUAUUUCACCUUUAUUUCUGGGUCGGCAUGUCCUCAAACAAAGCAACUUUAGUGUGUUUACAUGCUAUCUAUGUGGUAUGUUGUGUUACUUUUUCAAAACUCAAACUAACAAAUUUUCCUUUGAGUUUCUUUCCUCCGCAUGUAAUUAUAGAUUUUUUUGUGUCGAUUAAACUUGUUGAUCAUCCCUACAUCACUAGAUCUAAAGGGAUUGCAGAUUCCUUUUCCGGCCAAAGUUCAUAUAAGGGCAAAGCAGUAAUGGGGGACAAAAACAAUGAAAUUAGUCUUACUGACAUUGUGGUGUUUCAACCCACCAUAGACGAUCAAAACAAACUUAUUAUGCAGCUAAUGCAGUAGAUUGCCGAGAUGAGGGUUGAAAUGCAAAGGAGACAAGAUCUGCCUAAACCAGGUUUUACUUCAAAUGAUUCGACUGACGAAAGGCCUGUGCUGUACUUUCCCUCUUCAAUGUAGAACAAGCUCAGAACCCACUAUCCACACCUGCUCAAAACCCUUUACUUAUCGACUUAACCGUGCAAAAUCCUUAAUACGCCUCAGCCUCUUACCAGACCCCACCCUCCUCUCAAAGCAAUAAUUCCCAAAUAGCACCUCACCCUCAAAACACCAAUCACCGAACCGCUCCACCUCAAAAAACAAAAAUACAUUUAAUCCCCAAACAUCCCUCCAUCACCAAAAUCAACAUACUAACCCCUAAACAUACUCUCAUAAUUACAAAGCUUGUCAAAAUUAACCAAGUCCGUCCGUUGCUCCACCACUACCUAGAAAAACCACCUUCCAAAUUCCCAUUCCAAAUGAGCAUAAUGUGAAUCGUACGAAGCUCGACCAUUAUGAGGAGCACAAAAAAGAAUGGACAUCUAAAUAAGAGGCCACAAAAAUAGACAUAAAGGAGGAGAUCCGAAGGACAAUGAAGGAGAUCCAGUGCACUCCUAACCUUGCUGGUUUGAACUAUGAAGACUUAUUCAUUCAUCAGAAUUUGGACCUCCUAGAAAGGUUCAUGAUUCAAAAGUUUGACACUUAGGAGGAAUAGGGAAUAACUUAGCGCAUCAAAGGGACUACUUUCACCAGCUCGUAGGAGUUGGAAGAGAUGAAGUUGUAUAAAUGCAACUUUUUAGCCAAAAAUUGAGUGGAGAAGCUUUAAUAUGGUUUACAUCUCACAUGACUAGACAGUGGGCCAGCUGGGAAGCCUUGGCUAAGGACUUAAUUGAGUGAUUUUAUUACAAUGUAGAGAUUGUCUAUGAUCAUUAUUCCUUAUAGAAGAUGAAACAGAAGUCCAACAAAAGCUAUAGAGAGUUUUUGUAAAAAUGGAGAAAGGAGGCAGCCAGAGUUCGGCCUCCCAUGUCUAAAAAAAAUAUUGUUGAGGUAUUGUGCGGGUUCAAGAACCCGAGUAUUAUGAAAUAAUCAUGCUUCUCAUUGGAGAAAAAAUUUCCGAGAAAGUAAAGGUAGGUAAGCCUAUCAAGGAUGGAUUGAAAACUAGGAAGAUUGCCAGUUUUGCUUGAUCGUUCGGGUGCUCAGUCUUGUUAAAAAAGAAAAAAAGAAGAUGUGUCGGUUGUUUCUUAUGGGGGGAGAAGACCCCGAGAAGAUAAUCAUCAUACCAAGGUUGUUCUCGACCUUCACAAAGUCCAUACCAGUCUUGUUACACAUAAGCCGACUAUGGAAUUACUCCUCCUCCCAAUUACCAAAAUGACCCUCCUACCACUAACUAAAAUACUCCCCCUUUAUCAAAUUCCAUCUCCCAUCUACAAAAAUUCCCUUUUAGUUUACCAAAAUCCAUCUAAUCAUUACAAUAGAGUCAUUCCCAACUAUGCCAACAAGCAGUCAAAUUACUGAGCACCUCCCACAGUAUAUCAAGCCCAAGCUCCAGUUUACCAAAAUACCUCCCCACACUACCAAACUCCAUUGCAAAAUUACCAGAAUAAUUCCUACCCAGGCAUCAAUCUCCCCGUCGUAAUGUCCAAAAUUAUCAUCUGAUGUCUCCUACAAGGGAAACUACGAACCCCCUCGUCCUAGAUUUUAGAAAAAGCCUGCCGAUCUUUAUUUGCACUUGACGAAAGCCGAAAAAAGUUGUACGAGUGAAUAACCGUGGAAGGUUAUAUCCUACAAUGGUACCCAAGCCAGUGGACAUUAGCUCUCAAUUUUACACACUUGAUCAUAAGUGUGCAUAUCACUCUUAGAGCAUUGGGCAUGAUACUGAGGACUCUAUCAACGUCAAGAACAAAACCCACGAUAUAAUCAACCAAAACGUGGUCUUCCUCAUGAUAGUUGCACCCAACUUCAAUAGUUAUCCUUUGCCAAAUCAUAGAAGUGUCAAUAUCAAUAUGAUAGAGACGGACAUUUAUUGGUGCGUGAUAAAGGUGAUAGUCCCGAUUGUUCAUUAUGAGCUAGAAAUAGUGGUGGCUUACUGAGCAUCAAUGAGAAAGAGAAAUUCAUGAUUCUGACACCCGCAAAGGCUGUUUCCUUUGUUCCAAUAGAAAAUCCCGCUAGGCAAAGGCUUGUGAUCGAAACUGCUUCAGGUCAGGGUAUGACCAGAUAUGGAAGAUGUUACACUCUAGAAGAGUUGUCCCAUGGACGAAAAAAGAAAGGCCAAGGAGAGAGGAUGAUAAGCAAGGGCGAAGCUGAAGAAGUCUGUUGAAAGAUGCAAACAAAGGACUAUUCGAUUGUUAAGCAUUUGGAGAAAACCCCGUCUCGGAUUUUGUGUGGGCCUUGUUGAUGAGUUUGUCGUUACAUAUACAAGCCCUGAUGAAGUCUUUGGAGGAUACAUAUGUGCCCGUGGGUACCAGCAAUGAUAAUGUAGUGUCCAUGAUCAAUGACGUUAUCCGAGGAUAUCAGAUCAACUUCUAUGAUGAAGAGUUGUCUAUCGAAGGGUGGAUGCACAAUAAGGAUUUGCAUGUCAUUUUCAUAUGUUGAGAAAGGGUUAUAAACGAUGUCUUGGAAGAUGAUGGAUCUAGCCUCUAUAUUUGUUUGUUGUUGACUCUAACGCAGUAAUGAUUUGAUUUUGGGAAGCUUGAGCAAAACCAAGUUGGUCGUUCAGAUAGUCCCUGCAUAAUUCGACGCAAAGUUUCAGUUCCUAGACAUGGACUCUAGCUACAAUCUUCACCUUGGAAGAUCGUUAAUCCACAUGGCUAUGGAAGGGUCUAGCCCUUCUACCCUUCACCAGCAGAUGAAGUUUGUCUGGAAGGAGGAUUGGAUGAAGAUGAAGAAGAUUGAUGAUCAAGCAUUGGCUAGGCCGAUCCCUCAUCAGUACCAAUCAUUUCCAAUUUGAGAAUAUUCCGAUCGUGAUGGCCUUGGGGAAAGAAUCUGGGGCCUUUUCAAAGAUAUUGAUGCUAUCAUAGAGUAUGAGGUCGAGCUAGCUUGUAUCCGUGAUGCUGAUCUUGGGGAGCACCUCAAGAACUGGACUUCCACACAAAUCUUGAUUCCCUGAUCAUCAUGGUAGAAGGACAUUGUUUAUACAUGUUUUGAAAAUCGGUGGUAGUAUGAAAGAGGCCCGGACCCACCAUUUUUAUUUUUCUUUAAUUACAUGAAUUUUUAAAAUCCCCCCGUGACGUUUAAAAAGGAAAAAUUGCACUUGGCCAUGGCCAAAGUUUGCAUUGUUUUCCAAUUUGAAUGAAGCUUUUUUUAUUGAAAAUUUAUCUAUUUUCUUAUGUGCUAAGUUUUAAUUUCUUAUCUUUGUUUGUUUAUGAUUUCAGUAAUAUUAAUUUUAAAACUGCUAAUGUCAUGUCAUGGAACGAGCCAAACGAACAAAAUGAGACAGGUGAUGACGAAGGCGAAGAGCAUGAAUAAUGAGGUACCGGAGUAUGUACAGAGGAAUUUCGGUAGUUUGAAAAUUAGUAUAAGUAGAAUUUAGAAGAAACUGACACUGUGAAUCUGGGAGACCAAGAGUGUGUCAAAGAGGCAAAAAUCAGUGUUCACGUUAAUGAAGCUCAAAGAAAGGAUCUUAUUUAUUUUCUUACUAAAUACAUUGAUGUGUUGGUCUGGGAAGUCAGUGACACGCUAGGAAUGAUUACCAAUAUGGUGUUUCAAAAGUUGCUGACUAAUUCGGAGUCCAGUCCAGAUAAACAAAAGGCUCAAAAGUUCAAGCCUGAGCUAAGCUUAAAGAUUAAAGAAGAGAUCAACAAACAGACUGAAUCUCAAUUAGUGGAAGUGACGCAAUACCCGACUUGGUUAGCUAAUAUUGUUCCGAUCUCCAAAAAAGAUGGGAAGAUCAGAAUUUGUGCCGAUUAUGUAAAUAUCAACAAAGCGAGUCCAAAGGAUACAUUUCAAUUGCCAAACAAUCACAUUCUGAUCGAUAAUUGUGCUAAGCAUGAUAUGCAUUUAUUUGUGCAUUGUUCCGCAGGUUAUCACUAUAUCUUGAUGGAUGAAGAAGGUGCAAAAAAGACAAUGUUUAUUAUGCCCUGGGGCGUAUAUAAUCACACGUUGAUGCCAUUUGGUCAAAAAAAUGUCGGUGCUACUUGUAUGAGGUCUAUGACGACCAUGUUCCACCAAAUCAUUCACAAGGAGAUCGAGGUGUAUGUAGAUGACAUCAUAAUAAAGUCCCGCGAGAGUUCGGACCAUUUAAUGUAUUUAAAGAAGUUCUUCGAUCUUCUGAUUCAUUAUAACUUGAAGUAAAUCUCGCUAAAUAUUCUUUUGGGGUGCAAGGAGAUAAGUUGUUGGGAUUUAUAGUCACCAGAAGGGGUAUUAAGCUCGAUCCUUCUAAGAUCAAGGCCAUUCAAGUGUUAUCUCCUCUGAAGACUAAGAAAGAUGUAAUAAGUUUCUUAGGGAUGUUGAACUACAUCAAUCAGUUUAUAGAUCAAUCAACCGUGGUGUGUGAGACUAUCUUCUAUAUUUUGAAGAAAGAUGCUUUGUAAAGUGGACUGAAGAAUGUAAGACUGUGUUUGAUGCUAUCAAGAACUAUUUGUACAAUCCACCAGUGUUGGUUUCUCCGUGUGAAGGGAGUCCACUGUUGCUAUAUAUGUUUGUCUCGUAUUAUGUAUUUUGAUGUGUACUUGGUCAACAUGAUGAGAAAUAAGGAAAGAGAGAGCAAUUUUUACAGAAGCAAGAAGUUCACUCCAUACGAGUCUCGUUACACUCUUCUAGAAAGAACAUGUUGUGCUUUGACUUGGAUCGCCUAGAAAUUGAGGCAUUUGUUGUGUUCUUAGUACAUAUCUAAUUUCCAGAAUGGACCCGUUGAAGUAUAAAUUAUAGAAGCCGAUGCCGACCGGAAAGUUAUUUAAAUCAAAAAUGAUUUUGAGUGAAUUUGAUAUUGUGCAUGUGACCUAGAAGGUUAUAAAAGAACAAACCUUGGCUGAUCAUCUUGCAGAAAACCCUGUUUAUGAAUAGUAUUAACCGCUCAACACUUAUUUCCCUGACGAAGUGGCAUCAUUUGUGGGUGAAGAUAUUUCUGAGGCAAAUCCUUGUUGGAGUGUAUUCUUUGAUGGAGUAUCAAAUCACCGAGGAAGAGGUAUUGGAGAAGUUUUAGUGUCAGAAUAUGCUAAAAACUAUCCCAUGGAAGCUAAACUCUAAUUUAAUUGCAUGUACAACAUGGAUUAAUAUGAAGCUUGUGUCCUUGGUUUGAAAAUGGCCAUUGACAUGAAUGUCCACGAGUUGCUGGUUAUUGGACACUCGAAUUUGUUGAUUCUUCAGGAUCAAGGAGAAUAGGCUAUUAUGAACCUCAAGAUCACACCUUAUGUGCAGUACAUAUAGAAGCUGUGUAAAAGAUUCCAUAACAUUGUGUUCAAACAUACUCCCAGAACACAAACUGAGUUAGUUGAUGAUAUAACCACUAUGACUUCACUAAUUAAACAUCCAAACACUAAUUAUAUUAACCCUCUAGAUAUAGAUUUGGAAGAACAUUGAGUCCAUUAUUCACAUGUUAAUGCGGAACUAGAUGGUUUUCCAUGGUAUUCUGAUAUCAAUAAGUAUUUAGAGUACGAAAUUUAUCCUAAGAAUGCAAUAUUUAACCUGAAGAAGUCGAUACGCCGUAUGCCCCUUAACUUUUUUCUAAGCGGAGAAAUCCUUUAACUCCAGAUUUAGGUCUUUUCAGAUGUAUUCAUAUUGUUGAAGUUGCAGAGAUAAUUGAACAGCAUCCUGGAAUUUGUGGUACGCAUAGGAAUAGACUCACUUUGGCAAGGAAGAUCCUUCGAGCAUGGUUGUUGCAAGUUUGCACAUAAAUGUCAUAAUGUCAAGUGCAUGGUAAUUUGAUCUGAGUGCCACCUCACGAAUGCAAUGCUAUGAGUUCUCCUUGGCCCUUCGUAGCUUGGGGCAUGGAUGUCAUUGGUCUAAUAGAGUGAGCCACCUCUAAUGGACACAAAUUCAUUUUGGUUGCCAUUGAAUACUUCACCAAUUGGGUGGAAGCAGCUCUGUACAAGUUUGUAACCAAGAAAGUUGUAGUGGAUUAUAUCCACAAUAAUCUGAUAUGUAGGUUUGGAGUACCAUAAUCCAUCAUUACUGAUAAUGGUGCAAAACUAAACAGUCACUUCAUGAGAGAUAUGUGUGAGAAAUUUAAGACCACUCAUAGAAAUUCAUCCGCUUAUUGUUCUCAAAUGAAUAGAACUAUAGAGGUUGUUUAUAAGAACAUAAAAAAGAUUCUGAGAAAAAAAUUUGACAAUUACCGCGGUUGGCAUGAAUUGUUGUCGUAUGCUUUGUGUGGUUUUCAAACGACCGUCAGAACGGCGAUUGAAUCUACUCCAUAUCGCCUAGUAUAUGGAAAAGAAGCAGUCAUACCUGCUGAUGUUGAGAUGUCGUCCUCUACAAUCAUACAAAAGCUUAGUUGAGUAAUGCUUAAUGGGUCCGUAAGCAGAUUGAUAAAUUGGAAUUGAUUGAUGAGAAAAGAAUGGUUGAUGUUUGUCAUGGCCAACUAUAUUGACGAAGGAUGAUUCAUGCUUUUCACAAAAUAGUGAGGGCCAAAAUUUUUAAAAUCGGUCAGUCGGUACUUAAGCGCAUUUUCCCAUAUCAAAUGAGUACAAAGGGAAAUUUACACCAAAUUGGCAAGGGCCUUACAUGGUUCGCAAAGUAUUAUCUUGAGGUGCUUUGAUCCAUUAUGAGAUUGAUGGAACCGCAUAGCCUAAGCUGAUCAACUUAGAUGAUGUCAAGAGAUAUUAAGUGUGAAGCUUCAGUUCGUACUUCAUUUCAUAUCUUUGUAUUCAUUCUACUUGAUUAUAAUUGUCUUAUUUUUAAUUUUAUCCUUCCUGUAAUGAACUACGUCUGACCGGAAUUCUCAAGAAUGAGAUACAUAGGUGAAAUUUUUUUGCCUCGGUCACCCCGUUUAUCCGCUUUUAAUAUUUCUUUGUAUUUGAACUACGUUGGAUCUGAAUUCUCAUGAAUAAGAUACGUAGGCGUCCUGUGUCCGCCUUGGUCGGUUUCUUUGUGAAAUUUCUUAUUGAUGUUAAAAUUUGAAGGGUAGUACAUUUGAGGUAAUUCCUUCCUAAACGAGAUACGUAGAAGCCACAAGGGUUCAGCCAUAUCUCCCGUAAGAUUUCUAUUUCUCUUUACAAUAUAAGCUGGGACAGAAUUUUUGAGGGGGAAUCAAAAUUUCUCGAGAACAAGUUUUUUCCUCAACAAGUCAUGAUUGAAGUUGCUGUGAAAUUUACAACGGGGAUAGAAUUAUUGGGAAGAACUAAAAAAUCCGUGAUUUACUUAUCAGCCAUUAAAGAUGAGCAGGGAAAGUUAAUAGGGACAGGAAUUUUUUUAUAUUGCUUAUAUCGAAGACAUGGGAACGUGAACAAUGUUCUUUAAUCCAUUCCCAACAACAUGAAGUCUAUAGCGACGAAAGAACUAUGUUUAAGAAUAAAUCAAAUGAAAACUCCAGGAAAGACAUUUUAUUAUUCUAAUGAAAGACGCCAUCUGCAUCAUAUUAUUAGGCAUGAAAGUAUCAAUACCCGGAGGGUCAUUUUAUUCGUACUGUUAAUUGAGAUGAUACGCUACCUAGAGGGUCAUUGAUGUACUGUGGUUUUACGGUACUUCCAAUGAUUUUCCCUCUAGUUUAGUGUGUAACUAAGGUCUUUUUGUAGUAGUUUUCAUGUGUUUUUUUCCGUGUUUGCUGGAAAAUUGUCCUAAACAAAAAAGCUAAAGAUUGUGCUGAAAUCUGCACAAGUGAGAUUACCUUUGGAGCAACCAAUGCCCCGUCGACCAUGUGAAGGUCCACAGCUGAUAAUUGUCAAUUGAAGGUCCAAGCAAAUGAAAUCAAAUUGGGGAAAUUUGACCUAGUAUGGGGCUAUGGGAGGAGCUACGGUCCGUUGAUCCACUGAUGGACCGUCAUGGAUAACCGUCGGUGGUAGUAGAAAGUAGUGCACUACCAGGUCUGAAGAAAAAACUAAGAAUGGAGGAACCGAGGCCAUCGACAGAAUGUAGGUCCACUGACGGACCGUGUUGUUGGUCCGUCAAUUGUAACAAAAAGUGUUGAAAUGUGGAAGCUGAAAAGCCACUAAGUAUGGGGGAACAGAGGCCAUCAAUGGACCGUAGGUUCACUGACAGACCUUGUUGUUUGUUCGUGGAUGGUAACAGAAAGUGUUGAAAAAUGAGAGCUGAAAAAGAUUUGAAGUAUCGACCGACGAACGUUGUCGACGGUCCGUCAUUUCAUCAACGUACCGUCAAUAGGGUCAUCUACGGCAUACGCGUUACGGACAAUUUUUUUUCCUUAAAUAGAAUUCCUUUUUAUUUUAGGACUUUAUUAGUAUAAAUAUGAAUAAAAACCUCAUUUUUGGGGUUACACACUUUACUAUUUUAAGAUUUUAUUUAUUGGAAGUAAAACUUUGUGUUUUGGGAAUACUUGAAUUAUCUUGAAUCAUUUCUUUCAAUAUUUUAGUGAAUUCAAGUGAUAUUUAUGGUUUUUUUAAAAAGCUUGUUAAAGUAAGUACAUGAUUUCUUGUUUAGAUAUUAUGAAUAUUGUAAUUCUUAGCAUAGGUAACUAUAUCCACAACUAGGGUUGUGGGAACCAUGGGUAAUUAACAAGGUAAAACUAGCUAAAUAACAAUUCUAGAAUAGGGUCUUGCAUGUAUUGAUAAUUCCUUCAUUUAGAAGUCUUUAUAACGAGUACAUGUGUUUGAAGUUGCUCUAUUUCUACUUUCUAGACCAAGGAGUUAGUUGAUUGGAAAAGAAUUAUCAACAUAGAUUUAGUAUACACCAUCUAGUAGGCUAGUUUCAAUUGGCCAAAACUAGUAACUUAUCAAUACAUUGAAUAUGAUGCUUAAUAUGAGGUAAAGUUAAGGUUUAGUAAAGUAGACACAUGUAGCCAGACGAAGGUAUGGAGCGAAAUUCUCUAGUUGUCGGACCAAGGAAUUUGGGAUACAUAUCUUACCACUUUGCAUACAAGAUAUACUAAUAAAGGAUUGUUAUAGUUAGGAUUACCACGUUACGAAUCUAUAGAGAACACUUACACCCUAGUUUAUCUCAUCACUUGAUAAACACUUAAUUUAUAAAUUUGUUAUCUGUCGUACUUAAAAUAAUUAAACAUUUUUGUUACACAACCCCCCUCUAAUUAACAACGUUUGGAAAGGACUUGACUAAAUAGACGUAAUCGUAGAUUGAAGUUAAGUCUAAAUUAUUUUUCUCGUGGGAUCGGCCCCAACUCAACAUUUGGGUUCUUGACUUGAUACAAUUGCUUAUACUUCUUUAGGGAUGUAUAAUUUUAGUGUAUAAAAUUUUGGCACCGUUGGCGGGGAAAGAGGCUUUCAAGUUAACUUUAAGCACAUUAUCAAAUUUUAGUCAAUAAUUUCCUGAUUUUACUUUUUUGUUUUUAUUUUUGUCUGUCGCAGGUCUAGCUUUAGUGUAUGACAGGUACACGGAGUGUAGAAGAACCAAUACUUCCACUUGAUCCAGAGAUAAACCGCACACUUCGCAGAAUCAACAGUCAAAACAAUCUUGCUUAUAUUAAUGAUAAAAUCAAGCCUCAACAUCCACCGCGGAUUGAUGCUCAUAAUCAAGUAAUUGUUGACAACCCUAGUGAAGGUAAUCCGAGAAGGCAACCUCCUGCCCAACCCCCUCAAGAGUAAUAUAGGGGAAAUGCUAACAUUAUUGACUCUGAUAGGCCCAUUGUUAACCUCCUCUACCACAUGGUCAUACUUUCAUGGUAACUAAUAGCUUUAUACAGAUGCUCACCGCUAGAGGUUUGUUUUUGGGGCAACCAUCCGAGGAUUUACAUGCUCACAUCUACAAACUAAGGUCGGUGUGUAAGAGUUGUGUAGAGAGGACAGCCUUAGACAUGGAUGUAAUUGGAUUAAGGGUGUUCCCUCUUUCACUGACGGGGGAGGCCAUAAUUUAAUUUACUGAGUUGCCCUAUAAUUCAAUCUAUAAUUGGGAGAAAUUGAGGGAUGUGUUCCUAGAAAGGUAUUACCUGGUUUCUUAAAAGAAAAACCAUAAAUAUAGGGUGAACAACUUUGUGGCAUUUCCAGGGGAGUCAGUGAGCAGUUCCUGGGAUAGGUUCACCUCAUUUUGAGAAGUGUCUCAAACCCCUACAUUGGCAAUCAAUCAUUGAAAGAGUACUUCUAUUGGGGGCAAGAUGAUAAUAACAAAGCAGUGUUUGAUACGAUGCGGGUGGUUCUUAUGGGAGUGAACUUCUACAGAGAUCACUCAGAAAUUAGAGAAAAUCUCCCGCAAUAAUAAAGCUUGGAGCACUAGGUAGUCAGAUACUGGGAGAAACAAUUUUGUAGCGCAAGCUACACACGAUCCAACCUCAAAUGAGAUUCGUGAAGAGAUGGCUCAAAUCAGAAUUAAGCUUGGGUUUGUGUUAUAACAUGUCACAGGGGGUGAAUAAAAGGUUAAUGCGGUGAACUAUUUGGCUAAAACACCACUACCAGUUGAUGAGUACUUCUUUGAAGAAGAUUCUAAUGCAAUGAAUAAGUAGACAGGGGUUUCUAGACGAAUUCCCAAGGCGCCAAUCAGUAUAAUUGGCGCCAAGGUAAAGGAAAUCAAGGUUAUAACUAUGGGAAUUACAAUCGAGAGGGUCACUAUGUUUGAGAUGACAACAACAAUCACGACAACAACUUCAACCGAGGUAACUGUGGUAAUAAAAAUGAUCAGAGUGGAAACUAUGUUCCACCUCAAAAUCGAGAAGUUGCUCGUAGGGAUUGUGGAAGUAGUAUGGCACGAGUUGAGGAUAUGUUGCACAAUUAUGAGGAGGUUAAUUCUAGUAAAGAGCAUGCCAAAGAGUUGAAAUGCGAUUGAACAUAUAUUGGGCAAAAGGUGGAUUCUCAUGCAAUCUCAAUCAAGCAUCUUGAGUUGCAAAUGACCCAAUUGUCUUCUACUAUGAACCCUUGCCAACUGGGUACUCUUCCUAGAAAUACUGUCAAGAAUCCAAAAAAUGAUGGACGUUGUAUGGCUGUCACUAGUUGAGGGGGUAAGCAGACGAUGGAUCCACCUAUGUCGUCUGGCGUUGAAGAUGAGAAGACAAGAGAUGAUGAGGCAGAUGAUGUUAGUGGUGAGUUGGUAGUUAAAUUGGAAAAAGAAGCGGAGACACCCCAAAAAGUGACUCUCAUUCCUAAACCACCACCUCCAUUUCUGCAAAGAUUGGUGAAAAACAUAGAAGAUGGUAAAUACCAGCGUCUUAUUAAUAUGUUGAAAAAACAUUCAAUCAAUAUACCUUUGAUAGAAGAUUUUGAAGAAAUGCCCGGUUAUGCCAUGAUCAUGAAAGAUAUGGUAACUAAGAAAAGAUCAGUUAGUUUUGAGGAUGAUGAUCGGAUGCAACACUAUAGUCCUAUUGCUAAAAGGUCUCUUCUGCAAAAGAAAUACGAUCCGGGUGCUUUCACUACUGCAUGUACAAUCGGGUUGUUACACUUUGCUAAAGCAUUAUGUGAUCUUGAAGAAAGAACAAAUCUCAUGCCUUCCUCUAUUUACAAGAAGUUGGGUUCAGGUGACACAAACCCCACUGCGAUGCGGCUACUGAUGGCCGAUCAAAUGGUGAAGAGGCCUAUUGGGGUACUCUAUGAUGUGCUAGUAAAAGUGGAGUCAUUUAUUUUUUUGGCCGAUUUUCUGAAUCUUGAUUGUGAGGUGGUCUUUGAGGUGCCUAUUAUUCUUAGGAAGCCGUCUACCGAUCGUGCCUCAGUUGAUACAGAGAAAGGGAAGAUUAAUUUUCGAUUGAGCAAUAAAGAAGUGAAUUUAGUAGGUCCACGAGGCAGAUUGGUGAGCUCCAAUUGGUAUAUGCGAUAUCCUACAAGAUUGAGAGUUCGUCCGAUGUACAAAUAGAAAAGAGUCUUGGUGUUGAGGAACUAGCGGCAGUGAUCUUGAAUUUUGAGAGUGACUGCGUCGAAUAGUAUGGUUCAUUUUUUGCGGCACUUGAUCGAGGUGAUGUUCAGUUCAAACAAAAGAAAUUAGAUUUAGAUAUGAAGCAUCGCGAGUCUCCACCCGCGAAACCAUCUAUUGAAGAGGAUCCAAAAUUGGAGCUUAAGGAUCUACCACCUCAUUUGAGGUACGUAUUCUUGGUGAAAUGUGAUACUUUGCCGGUAAUUAUUUUCACCACAUUUGAAUAUGAAACAAGUAGAGUGUUUGGUUGAAGUGUUGAAGUGGUUCAAGAGAACUAUUGGGUGGACUAUUGCGAAUAUUAUUAGAAUCCCCUCCCGGUAUUUUUUUCACUUAAAAUCCAACUCAUGCCUGAUCAUAAGCCCAAUACUGAGCACCAAAGAUGUUUCAAUCCACCUAUGCAAGAGGUAGUGAAUAAGGAAAUUAUCAAGUAGUUGGAUGUUGGAGUCAUAUAUCUGAUGGCUGAUAGUAGUUGGGUAUGCCCUGUUCAGUGUGUGCCUAAGAAAGGGGGGAUGACUGUGGUCCCUAAUUAAAAAAUGAGCUUGUUUUAAUGAGACGGGUGACGGGAUGGAGAGUGUGUAUGGAUUACUAGAAAUUGAAUGCAUGGACUGAGAAGGACCAUUUUCCUAUGCCCUUAAUGGAUCAUAUGUACGAUAGGCUUACAGGUAAAUGUUGUUAUUGUUUUCAUGAUGGUUAUUCGGGUUACAACCAAAUCUCUAUUGCACCGGAAGAUCAAGAUAAAACCACUGUUGUCCUAAUGGAACUUUCGCAUUCAAAAGGAUGCCGUCGGGUUGUGUAAUGCACCGGCUACUUUUAAAAAAUUUAUGAUGUCCAUAUUCUCUGAUAUGGUGGAGGACACCAUUGAGGUAUUUAUGGAUGAUUUUUCUUUUGUUGGUGACUCGUUUUAUCAUUGUUGAAUCACUUGCUCGAAGUUGUCAAAAGAUACGAAGAUUGCAACCUUGUGCCAAUUAGGGAAAAAUGACACUUUAUGGUGAAAGAGGGUAUUGUAUUGGGCCAUCGCAUCUCAGAGAAGGGUAUAGAGGUUGAUCGAGCUAAUGUUUAGGUGAUAGAGAGACUUCCUCUACCAAUCUCUGUAAAAGGUGUGACGAGUUUCCUUGGGCAUACGAGUUUCUACCAGAGGCUCACCAAGGAUUUUUCAAAUAUUGCACAUCCUUUGUGCAAGUUACUUGUUAAAGAGUGUAAAUUUUAUUUUUAUGAAUCUUGUGUGAAAGAAUUUGGAGAGUUGAAGGAGAAGUUGGUGUCUACGCCCAAUAUUAUCUCUCCAAAUUGGAGCAAACCAUGUAAGGUUAUGUGUGAUGCUAAUGGGGUUGCUCUUGCUGCAGUAUUGCUCUUUACCCCAUUUAUUAUGCCAGCAACGACCUUAAUGAAGCUCAAAAGAAUUAUACUGUGACUGAACAAGAGCUACUUUUGGUGGUAUUUGUCUUCGAAAAAUUUUUCUCCUAUUUGCUUGUCAUGAAUGUUAUAGUGCAUACUGAUCAUUCUGCUUGAGAUAUUUGAUGGCAAAGAAGGAUGUCAAAUCGAGGUUGAUUAGAUGGGUAUUACUGUAGCAAGAGUUCGACAUUAAAGUGAUAGACAGAAUAGGGACCAAAAAUCAAGUUGUCGAUCACUUGUCAAGAUUAGAGGAUGAUGCUAUGCGAGAAUUAGGUUAAAAGGCUGAAAUUGAUGAUACUUUCCCUGAUGAGCAUGUAUUGGCUGCGUCUCAAGACUUGAUUCCAUGGUUCACUUAUUUCGCGAAUUACUUUGCUAGUCAUAUCGUCCCGUCGGACUUGUCCUUUCAUCAAAGGAAAAAGUUCAUGCAUGAUGUGAAAAAUUUCUUUUGGGAUGAGACAUAUUUAUAUUUGAGUUGUUAUCAUGGUCUUAUUCGCCUGUGAGUGCCGGAAGUUGAGAUAUUGAGUGUCUUUGAGGCACGUCACUCCUCGCCUGUGGGUGGGCAUCAUAGUGGUAUUCGGACUGCCCAUAAAAUCUUGCAUUGUGUAUACUAUUGGCCAAUCAUCUACCAAGAUGUUAAUGAGUUCGCCAAGGCAUGUGAUAGGUGUCAAAGAGAUGGAGGUAUUUCUAGAAGGCAAGAGCUCCCUUUAAAUCUCAUUCCUGUUAUUUGAGUUGUUUGAUGUGUUGGGCAUUGACUUUAUGGGCCCCUUUGUGAGUUCUCAGGGGAUAAAGUAUAUUCUUGUGGUGGUUGAUUAUGUGUCAAAAUGGGUGGAGGCCAUAGCACUUGCAAAUAAUGAAGAAAAGAGUGUCACCAUAAUCUUGAAAAAGAACAUAUUUUUUAGAUUUGCCCCCCCAAGGGCCGUUAUUAGUGAUGAGGGAUCCCACUUUUGCAACAAGUUGUUCAAAGGUUUAUUGGAGAAAUAUGGGGUUUUCCACAAUGUUGCCACUCCUUACGAUCCUUAGACUAGUGGACAAGUUUGAGGUGUCAACAGAGAAAGUAAGCACAUUCUGACAAAAACGGUGAACGUGAGUAGAACAGAUUGAUCAAGGAGGCUUGAUGAUGCUCUUCCGGCCUACCAGACAGCAUACAAGACUCACAUAGGUAUUUACCGACACCAACUUGUAUAUGGUAAGGCUUUUCACUUGCCGGUUAAGUUAGAUCAUAAGGACAUGUGGGCAAUGAAGAAACUGAAGAUGGAUGGGAAUGAAACAGCGGAGCAGAGGUUUAAUGGGUUUAAUCAGCUUGAUAAGUUUUGCUUGAAGGCAUAUGAAAUUUAAGCCCUCUAAAAAUAAAAGAUGAAGAAGUACCAUGACCAAAACAUUGAGAAUCACGACUUUGUGGUUGGGGAUUUUGUGCUUUUGUUCAACUCUAGCUUGCGCUUGUUUUCGGACAAACUCAAGUCCAAAUGAACUGGCCCAGUCUUGAUCAUUCAAGUAUUCGUCAUGGUGCGGUUGAGUUGGAGAACAGGGAGGGUGUUAGGUUCAAGGUGAAUGGAUAAAGAAUAAAAAUCUACCCAGGGCAUGCGGAAAAUGGGAAUGAAGCGGUUGAGGCAUACCAUCUUGAUGAAGUCUGCCUAAGCAAGAGUCUUGCGUCGUGGAGUGACAUUAAAUCAAGUGCUGGUUGGGAGGCAACCCAAUAUGUAUCCUCUAGCCAAAAAAAGGUUUUUCUUGAUUUUCUAGGAGUAGUGCAUUAUAUCGAUUUAUUUUACUUAAUAUCAUGUAUGCAUUUUCUUUAACUUUUUCUAGAAGUGUUGGCUAGAGAAUAGAAUAGGGCCCGUGUCUACAAAGUAUCCAGAAAACACAAAAAGAUUAACUUAUUGUGUGUUCAAUGUGCAUGGACCAAAUCACCAGAAAUCUUUACAAAUUGGUCUGGUGCACUAAUCGACAGACCUACCAAUGGACCGUCGUCUUGUCGACGGACCGUCAAUGGCAUCCGUGCAUCCCAGGUAUGAUUUAUAUUUUUUCUUAAGAUAGGGCACUACUAAGGGUGAUGUUAUUGCUGCAGACACUACUGAUGGUGUCCCUACGCCUGAGUGAGCGGGUUCCAGGAAAUCGGCACCGCUAGCUUGAUUGUUGGCGCUAGGCGCCUCAGAUUUGCUUCAUCUACCACAUUUUUUAUGCAUUUGGGACAAUUGCAUGCUUUUUUGUUGGGGGGGGGGGGGAGGGGUAAAUGGAUAGUGAGUGGGUGAAGUUUGAGUAGCCCAACUCUUGAUCCUCUCUUGGGGUUUUCUUGCCUGUAUUAUUUUCCCCCAAGAGACUGAUUAUUUUACUGUUGAACUAACAUGUUAUUACCUUGUACAAAGUAUAUGUGAAAUCUGAACCAUGAUGGCUAAAAUAAAAUGAUAUCCCGUCUAAAAUGAAUAUUUGCAUGAUUAAGCAUAGUGAAUAUUGAAUUUGUUGGCUCUAAGAAUGAUUUAGAGAUACAUUAUUGCAUGACCCUCGAUCUAACGCUUGAAGUAGAUGUCCAAUAAUCUUAUAGGGUUAUGAGGUGUUAAGUGAGUGUGAGGAAAGUUUAAUAGUCAACCGUUUGUACCUAGCUAGAACUUGCCCGACAAGUCCUGCAAAAAGUAACAUGUGUUAGAGAAUCAGGAAAGGAUCGUAGGCCCUUGUCCAACAUAGUCGAUCUUUAGCUUAAAUGAAAGAAAAUCAAAUGAAAUUAAUUCAUUUAGAUCCAAAUAAUUUGAGCUUACAAUGGAUCUUUCUUUUCAAUCCCAACUCAUCUUUUCUAGGUACAAUGUAUCAGCCAUGGUCCCUCCUUGGACAUGUGCACCUGAGCUUAUUCGAAAAGAAUAAGUUGAGGGUGGAUAAUUUAAAAUUAAAGCUCAUCCUAGACCUGACCCAACCUUGGGUAUUGUGUACUUUGACUGAUGGCAAAGCCAUGAGUUGAGGGUGGCUGUUAUGAAGAAUCUCCUGGAAAGCAGGGUUGAAGGAAUUAUUGAAAGUAAAAAGGAGGAGUGGCUCAAUCAAAGUUGAAAUUAAAUGAAAAAUUUGAAAAUCUGAAAAAAAAAAUUAAAAAAGGGUCAUUUCCAGAAAAGGAAAAAUAAAAGAUAAAACCAAGGCCAAGGAUACAAGAAGAUAAUGUGUAGGGAACAAUAAACGAUGAAAAGGUAGGACGCUUAGUAGUUAUGACAAGGACGGCAAAAACUCACUAAAAUGCAUCUAAAGGUACCCUACCUCACCCUGAGCCUACGUUAGAAGACAAGAAAGUCCUAUCGUGAUCUUGAGAGUCUAAUAUGGUGAAAUUAAUGUAGUGAAAAUAAGGUCAAGCCUAUGGCAACAAGUAUCAACUAAGUGUUAAUUGGUUCUGAGAGAGAGUGUUGAAAAGUAAUCCUUAUACUCAAAAUGAAAGAAAAUUCCCAGAAACUUUCCGAAACGAAUUUUUCAAGGCUUCUUCAUAGUGUUCAAGUAGCUCCGCAUGUGAGCAUCCAUCGGACUACUGUACACGUUUCAAGCCUCUUCACGCGAGAUCGAGUGGACGAACAAUGGCUCAAACGGCCGCAAAGAAGACGAAGAUAGACGGAAAGUAGUACAAAUGUGGUUUUCUCCUUUUUGCUUAUGCAGUAAAGCAGUUGCAUGUCCUGGAAGAAAUAGAGGACGCGAUCCUUCUUAGAGCACAAGAUGACAACACAUCGUCAAUCAAGGAUGAUUGGAAUCGAUCCAUACUAUUCAUGCUGUUGCCAUCGUCCGGAUUUUUAUGAGAUUUGGCCUUUAAUCUCGUACACGAAUUUAUUUCUUUGGCAGAUUCUUUUGAAAUUUGAUUUCUAAUUUUUGGGGAGUUCCGUUCUCUCCCUUUUUCCUAUCAAAAUAAAACCCUAAUCCUCCCCUAUAAAUAAUCUCUUUCUUUUAAAAAAAAGAGGAUAUAGAGGAAAAUUUUGGGAGUUAGACGAUUUUGAAAGUAAAAGAAAAUUUUGGUUUAGACAAAGUGAAAGAAAAUUAAAGUGAUUUAACAAUCAGUCAAGCAUUUGAAAGAAAGACGGAGUAGAUUUUCAGCAGAAAGUUCUUUGAGUUUUAGUUCGGUUUUGGACUGUCGCUCUUUUGGUUCAAUCUCAUAGGUUUCUCAGAGUCAUCCUUUGUGUGUUAGUCAAUGUGUAUUCUUGCUCAUUCGUCCCCGUUCGCUGCCCUGAAUAAGGUGAACCACUCAAUAUCCCUUUGGUUUCUUUCAAGUUAUUUAUGUUUGCUGAGUGUAGUUCCAUGCAGAGUCUAGACGAGCUUGUGUGGGGUGUUCGAAGUUGUUUAUUCUCGUUUCUCUGUCCUCUAAAGCAUCUAUUUGUGUCCUUUUUCUCCCUUUUUUAAAUAUAGGAUUCUAUGAAUUUCACAUAGUCGGAUUUCAUUAUCCCUUAAAUUCGUAGGUAUUUCUUCACUAGUCUAUUUAGCUUUGCACAACUUAGACUUUUUUGGGUCUGUUAGUUUAUUCGUGCGGUUGGCAGCCUUUUCACAUGGUUUAUUCCUGUAUGAAUGUCGUAACAAAAUGGUUUGUGUUUUUGAUAACCCGGUAUGUUUUCUCUGUAUCAUUGCAAACCUUGGCUGAUAAUUUCUCUAUAUCAUUGCAUGUUUAUUUCUUCUUAAAAAAAUUGUUGUCUUCAUCUCGUUAAAUUUUGAGUACUUAUUUGGACUUGUACAUGUCUUAGUUCCUUCUCCUAUAGAUCAUAAAAUGUCAUAUUGUAGACUUGCCUAAUCUUUCUACACAUACAUGUACGUAUAUGCAUUUUCAAAUUUUUUUUAAAGAAUUGAGUGAGCCUGCGGGUAUCGUGUAUUGGUGAACGUUAUGCUGAAUUUGAAUCCUCUCAAUAGGGAGCAUAGAUGGUGUUGUAUUCAUUUGUUCAUAAAAUAGUCAUCUCGUUCAAAUGAGAGGUCAAAUGUAUUUCUUUGAUUUAUCUCGUCUCCACAUCGUGCCUUUAUUAAUUUCUUAAUAAUUUUUUAAAUAUUUUUUUUGGUUGUUAGUUGCUGAAUUUUUGCUGCUUCUUUCUCCCAUUCAAAUUUUACAUUCCCUCUACUGUUUGGUGUGUAAUGCUGUAAAGUUUAAGUGUGUCUUCGUUGAGAUGUAGCCCAAAAAUAACAAUAAAGGGAAAGUUUUUCAUUGCAUAGAGCCUUAAUACAAAUUUUAUGACAUGUUUUGUCCCUGAAUUUGUCUUUUAUUAGUUAAUAUGAGAUUUGAGCACAUCUAAACUUUAAAUUAUAUUUUCUUAUCACUAUUAUUUCUUACCGUAUGAUGAUGUGAUGUCAGACAUAAUAAGGAGUUUGAUGGAUAGUUAAGAGAUAAAAGAUUACCGUGUGUACCACUUUGACAAAAAAUAAGCAAAAACAUUUUAUCAACCGCAGGCAACUUUUGGAAAAUAUGUUGGUUUCAUGGCUUCAUGUAUUAAAUUUGGAAUAUAAGGAUAUUAAUUAAUGUUAUAGGAAGUGUGCACUGAUCAAUUUCCCUUCUGUGGGUAGGUCGCUUUUGCAUAAAACAAUUUGUGUAGAUUUAUUGUUAUUUUGGGUUGAAUCGAGUUGUUCAAUAUUGUGUGGCUUAUUACUUACGUGUUAUAUUUAUUCUUCUGCAUGGGAAAUAUUCCCUGUUUCACUACGAACUCCAAUAUUUCUCCGGCAUUUGGAGAGAUCCACUAAGGCUCGAAAUUUCUCCAUCGAAUCUCCCGACCUUAAAAUUGGUGAUUAGGUCCCCCAAACAUGGAGAAUAUGAAGGCAAUUGUAGAGUUGAAGUCUUGUGGCCAGAUGACCAUAUUUAGUUUAUUUUAUGUCGUAUUUUGUUAUUUUCAGGCUUAAGACCUUGUAAGGUUUUCCUUAUUAUUAUUUUGCAGAACUUAGGACAGGUACUAAAUGAAAAUGAGUAAAAACCCAAAAGAAAUGGGCCCAAAAUACCGGUCUAGGCGGACAGAAACUGAAUUUGGACCCAACUCUCUCUCUCUCUCUCUCUUUUACUUUACCGUAUAUUUGCUUGUUGUUGGUUGUCAUUAGUCUUAGAAUUAAAAAAUCGAAUCCCCCGAAAGACGCCACUUUGUUUAGGUUUUUAAACUAAAUUGAUUGUCUUUAUCUAAACAUAAAAAAUAAAUAUUUGCAAUUUAGAUAAACUAAUUUAAGUAUUAAGUCGAUUACUCACCCUCUUAUAGAUUCCAAAUAAAGGUGAAGUAAAUUAAAUCAUUUUACCCAAAUUAAGUUAGUUUCCGGAUAAUUUAAAGUUAGCAAAUACUUUUAGGUGCCAUAAAAACCUUCCUAAAAUGUAAAUAUGAAUCCCGAACCCUCUUUUAAAGUUUUUUUAUGAUUUUCUAUUUAAAUCUUUUGAAAAAUAAUUUUUCUUGAUUUAUUUUAAAAAUUAAGUGGCGACUCAAAAAUAGUCUUAAGCUUAUAAAAUAUUUUCUUAUAAAUAAAACAGUGAGAAUUUAUUUAUUCCAUGUUUUACAUCCUAGUCUAGAACUUGCCGUACAUAAUAUUCAAGUGAAAUAAAAAAUGUUGCUUUGUUUAGGAGAUGAUAAUAUUCUUUCCUUGAUUUGUCUGGUCAAUUUUAUCCUUUCAAAUAUAUUAUAUAUGUCGUUAUCCCUUUUGAGCAUUUAUCCUUUUUUUGUUAGCCAUAUUUUGCAUAUACUAUUUUGUUGAAUCCCUUAUUUUUGCACCCUACUUUCUUGAGCAUUAUAGCAUAAAAUUAUUUUAAUUGCUAAUUCGUAAGAAAAUGAUUGUUUAGUGAAAAGGAUAUCAAUGAUAUCUAGAAUGUUCUUACGAAGCUCUCUUUGAAAUAAUUUGCUGUUAAAAAAACAAAUGUACAAAACAAGUCCUUUCAAGGAUAUCAUGCACCUCAAUCCAUAUAAAAUACGUAAGUUGAGUGUGGUUACUAUGAAGGACCUUUCUUAUUUUUUUUUGUUAAAAAAGAAAAAUUUAAAGAAUUCUUUAGAUGAUGAUAAUUAUAUGUGAAAUAAUUUUUGAAGAGAGGGUUGAAAAUUGUUGACAAUAUGUCGCAGGAUAUUGGAGUGAUAAAUAACUUAGCUACUUGGAAAGGUUUUUAAAAUUAUUUAAUUUGAGUUUUAUGUGACUUGAAUUGAGGAGUUAGUUCUUUUAUUUGUUAUCUGAACUUUACUAAUAAGUUAAUAACUUAUUUUUCUAUUUUUAGUUAGAAAUUUUAUCUAUAAAUGUAUGUCUUUGAAUUAUUAAUAAAAAAUUCCAUUUGAUAAUAUUAUAGUAUUGUUCUCUCUCAAAGUCUUUCUCUGUUAUUUUCAUAAUUUCUUUGUUAAAGAAUGAAGAAUUGGUAUCUAGAGGCUUCUUCUUGUGGAAACUGCGAGUAGAAAAAUGGAUUUCCAAAACAAAAUUGUUCCUCUUAUUUUUUAUGGUGAGAAUUAUUAACCAUGAGCUAUGAGAAAGAAAACUUACUUGGAGGCUCUUGAUAUUUUGGAAUCCAUAAAGAUUAUGAAAUUAGUCCGUCGCCAAAUAAUCCCACGUGGCCCAAAUGAGGAGUCAUAAGGAAAAGAAAACCAUUAAGUCGAAGGCAAAAUCAACUUUGUUUGCUUCUGUGACAACUGUUUUCAUGGAAAUCAUGGCUCUCACAAUACCAAAACAUAUUUGGAAUUAUCUUAAGAAAGAAUUUUCUAGUGACGAAAGAAUACGAGGAAUGAAUGUAUUAAAUUUAAUAAAGAAAUAUGAAUUGUGGAGAACGAAAGAGUCAUAAAUAGUAAGGAAUACUUGGACAAAUUUCUUGGUAUUGUCAACAAGGUAAGACUAAUAGGCACUUACAUUAACGAUACAAGAAUUGUUGAAAAAUUUCUUCUUACUGUGAUUGAUAGAUAUUAAACAUGUAUAACUACCAUGGAAAAUGUACAAAAUUUGUGGAAAAUUACAUUGGAAGAAUUGUUAAAUUCUUUGUAGGCACAUAAACAAAGGAGACUUAUGAGGCAAGAUAAUAUGGUUAGAUGAGCAUUAAAAUCCAGCCACAAUACUCAAAACAAGCAUAAAAUUUUAAAAUAAUACCCUACUUAUUAACACUGUGGAAAUAAUAGACAUCUUCCAUAUAAAUGUUCGAAAAAACCAUAUGCAAGUGCAAGAUUUCAAAAAAAUAUGGUCAUGAAGUAGUGAUUUGCAAAAGCAAGUUUCAAAAAGAUGAAACAGUUGCCUAUGUCACUACUGCAGAAGAAGAAGACCACUUAUUUGUGUCAACUUGUUUUUCAAUCAAAUAAUCUGAUUUUAAGAUGAUUGAUAAUAGCUUUACAAACCACAUGACAUAUGAAAAAAGUCUUUUAAAGAGUUCAUUCCUAUGGAAAAUAAGAAAGUCUGAAUGGGAAUGGUGAUUGUAUUGCGGCAAAAGAAAAAGGGUCUAUUUCAAUUGAAACAUAUUCCAGUACAAAAAUAAUCUUAGAUGUUUUUUAUGUGCCUAAUAUUAAUAAAAUUAUUUUGAGUGUUGGUCAAUGAAUAGAAAAAAAGAUUUAAAUUAUUUGGAGACAAAUGUUGUCGAAUCUUUGAUUCUAGAAAGCAAGAGAUUUUACAAGUUGAAAUAAGAGGUUCUGAUCUAAUCCAACAAAAGUUGAACACAAGCCUUGCAAGACAAAAGAUGAAUUAGCAUAUUUGUUCACAAGGUCAAUAUGAGAUAAGACUACAAUCUACAACUCCUGAUACAAAAAGGAGUGUUGAGAAUAUGUCUAAUGAUAUUUCAUUUAUAAAUCAGUAAGCUACUUUUACGAUUUUUAUAUUUAUAAAAAUAACAAAAAUAAAGAGAAGAAAAUAAUGGGUGAUGAAGCUAAAAUUGCCAUGUUCUUAAGACAGUGUAAAUCACUUUUAUAUAGUUUUCCUACCCGUCCCCCAGCCUACAUUACAGCCUGUUAAGGUCCUAUUUGAUUCUAUUUGAGCAUGCUUAGUUAGUAAAGAUGUACAUAAUGGACAAGCCUAUGGUAAUUCUUUGUGCAUACAUGUGAAUUUUUUUUGUGAGUGCUAGAGUUGUUCUUGAUAUGAAAUCCUUUAUUUAUGUUCUGUCUUUUUAAUUGAGUGUGUGAACCUUUUCUUCUUGUGAGACCACUUGUUUCUUGAUGGAUAUGUGAUUUUAUUAAGAUAAUUUUAUGAGAGUAUGGGAGCAAGCUUAUAUUUGAUGAGUUCAAAUUCCUUUCUUGAAGUUAAGUGGAUAGAGGUAAGUUAUUUAUUUAAAUGUCUUUCAUAAUGAUUGAAAAGUCUACUUGAUGUUUCAAAAUUUGUAUAUGGACUAAUUAUUUUUAUUAAUCAAAGUGAUGACAUUCCUAUUUAAUUUAUAUGAGAUGAACUUCAAUGCUUUCUCGAGGACGAGCAAACUUUUAUGUGUAGGGCAUUGAUGUGAGGACAAAAAUUUAUUUUCUCAUCAUUAUUUGCCUCACAUUUAUUAUUUAUAUUUCUCUUUUUUUGAGCAUGAGUUUUGUUAAUUUUGUUAGACCGUGUAUAUUAUUUGCAAGUGUAAAUUUAUGAAAUGUUGAAGAAAUUUGGAGCACAAAAAAAUUAAAGAUGGAAGAUUUUAGAAGGAAAUCAAGCCGACAACCUAAUGGAUUAAAUUGAAUAUAAUAAUAUAUAAUAUAUAUAAUAAUUGCAUAUGGCUACAAAUUGAAUUGACACAAAUUUACAGCCAUGUGGCAGUCACUUUAGAGUUGCAACAACAUGUUGAAGGCGGUAGAGCACUUAGUUACGCGGAAAAAAAAACAGAAUUCAACUCCUUUAUGAUUUUGGAUUCCUAAUUUAUUUUGGACUCAAUUAUUUUAUUUAGUUUUUCUACAUUUUAUAAAUAGUUGAUAAAUAUAAUUAUUAGGGGAGAGAUCAACUAUAUGGAGUAGAAAUUUGUUUAUACAUUUCGUGUUCUUUUUUUUUUCUUAUCUUAAAGAUUAGUGUCUAAAUGCCUUUGUUAUGGGGCAAUAGCUAUGAAUUGAAUGUUGAAUAUUAAAGGUUAAUGGAAUAAUUCUUGGUUGUCAUUAUAAGUUACUUUUGUAUUAUUAUUUUAGUAUAUCUUAACUAGCCAUGUAGAGAUGAAUCUAUUUUCUAAUCUUGAAAUAAAGAGAUAAGGGAGUUACAUAGACUAGAGAAUAUAGAGAGCUUUAUCGAUCAAUUUAGUUGAGGUGAUUUAUGUUCAAAAGUGAUUCCCGAACAAGCAACUUUCUUGGUUACAAAACAAGAUAAAAUAUAAAUAUUUGUUGGUUAGGUAUGUUUAUCCCCUCUCAAUGAUGAAGUUAGACAGGUAACUCGAUUAUGCGACUAGAGGUUUUAUACCCCACUUACACACAUAACCUUAUAUAAGUAAAUUAAGUUGACAACUAAAAUUAAUUCUAAGCUAUGAAUAUGAUACAUGAGAUUCAUUGCAUGUUGCAGCUUUAGAAGUUUUCAACUAUUGUAAGUAAAUUUAUUAUUUUGUUCUUGCAUUCUUUUCUUUGGCACCCUCAAAUAAUAAUUACACGAGUAUAAUUCAGUAAAAUAAUCUAAUUCAAUUCCUUUCAGUACGAUAAUCUAGUUCUUUUAAGAGAUACUAUAUUAUUUGUGAAACUGCGUAACCCUCCUUUGUAACUACCGGGUUCCAUCAAUAUAAAAAAGCUUAUGGGGAAAAAUUUGAGGUCAAAAAACAUUUAAAAUAUGUUUUGAUUUUUCUAACCUAGUCCAUAUUUGAAUUAAAUAUAAGUCAUUAAGGUAUAGGAUAAUUUUGUAACAAUUGGGUGAAUUGUUUAUGAUUUUUAUUAAAUCAGUGGAUAAAUAACUCUUUAUGGAAUUUAUACGACUUCGCGGAUUGAAUUCGGGCGAGUAGAACUCCUAGAAAGGUAUUUUAUGAUAGUCAUUGGUUAGAGGUGUGUUGUGAAAUGGGGGUCUUGGAAUAAUUUAAAUAGUUCACUAGUUUUGUGCAAGACAUUGGGGUGGGAUUUUUACCGACAGGGCGAGGUCGCUGCAGUGGGGUAAGCGACGUUAUGGUGGGUUUGACGUGACUUAAAGUCAUAAAUAAACCUUUAAACGAUCUUAUGCUGCACUUUUCAAUUUUUAGACAUAAGGAACAAACCCCGGACGACUCUUGAUAGUUUUGCACUAUUCUUGGGGCUAUAAAGAUAAGGUUUUAACUCCUAAAAUCCAUUUUUAGAUUUGUAGAAGGUAAUAUAAUGGAAAUUUAUUUAUGGUGGAGGAUAUUUGAUCUAGAAUUAUGGUUGAACAACCCUAAAUUGGAUGCUUGGUAUCAUGUGUAUGAUCUAAGGUGCAUAAAAUUGUUGUAGAUUCGGGUAGUUAGCAAUUAUUUAAUAAUUUACCUUUUAUUAUCAUUGUUCAUAGACCAUGAAAAAGCGGAAUGAAUUUUGAAAGGAGAUGAUCAAGUUUCUUAGGGUUUCAAUCUUGUUUUAAGUUAGGUGUUGUGUUUGAUUUUUUGAUUGUGUGAUUUAUGUUUUUUCUCGCUUCAUUAUGAUACAUGUUUUUAUAUGAAUGUUGCAUUAUUGAUAACUCUUGUUGUAUAUAUGACAGAUGAAUUAUGAUUUCCAUGAAAUAUGACUUUAAAAUAUUAUCUUGAAGAUAUACUUGUUAUUGUGAAUGUGGUGUGUUGAAUGAAUCAGUUUCCAAGUUUCAGCAUAACAAAUUUGAUUGGUUUCACCUUCCAACAUAAAUAUGGGAUCGGUUUAUCAUGUUCCACCAUAAUUAUUUGAUUCGGUACCACUUUCUGGUAUGCUAAUAAUUUGGGUUUGGGUUCUAUGAGUGGACCUAUAAUUUGAUAUAAUUAUGCAUCCUGAGAAAUGUGAAUUGAGGCUUGUUCUUAGAUGUUUAUAAUAUUGUAUACGUUUGAUUUACACAUGUAGGCUGUUUUGUUGUAAUGAUUUUUGUUUGUUGCACUUAGUGGAUAGUCGUGUGAUUCUACACUACAUUAUGGUUGUGUAUUUAUAUUGCACUAGCUCUUUUUUUUU